CCAGGUCCAGGUGUCUUCACGUCCCUCUUCAGACGCUGCACCCAUUGUACUGAGUGCCAGUGUGAGCAGUGAUACCGUAGAUAUUGCAGAUCCGAGUAUGUCUCGCAUUGUCAUAUACGGAGAGGUUACUCAAGGCUACACACCGGUAGUUGGCGCCACUGUGGUGGCUUAUGUUGACACAAGUGCUGGGAAUACCCACACAUUACAACUGCUUGAUAACGGGGCAGGUGCGGAUAACGCAAAAAACGAUGGAAUCUAUACAGCGUACUUUCUUAACUUCGGAGGCAACGUGAAACAUUCAGUGCAAGUUGCAG